rnacentral:lncRNA from 1 species
AUGCUUUCUCAAUCAGCACCAAGCAAUCUGGAGGCCCCGGAGCAAUCCCAGCAUUCCUUGAGUGACCCAGACUCUUUCCUAUCAGAUAAUGAACUCAAGCUGCCGCAGUCUUCCGGGCCAAACCCACGACCAAAAUCCCUGGAACCAACGCAGUCACAGACAAACCCUGCACCGUUUAGCACGGCUGUAAAAACCCUAUCAAGUUCAUUUAACCAGUCCCCGUCAGAAGUAAAUUCUAGAGAAAAGUCAACUCCAUCAUAUGGGGAUGCUACGGUUUAUACGUCUUCUCCCUCCUUCUCUGGUGACCCUGAAUCAACCCAUCAAGCUCGGCAGGAUACAAAGUGCAUCCCAUCGAUUUCAUCACAUCCCUUAAAUGUCGUCCAGAAUCACCCUUUCACUGUGAGAAUGAAGGAGGAAGAGGAGCUAUCAAUGGACAGUGGAGAUGAAAUGUCCAGCGAUAGUCUGGAUCUGGCUUCACAUGACGGAGGCUCUUCAGAUGAAGACGCACAGAUGCGCGGACGUUUAACGAGACGGAGAUCCAGAGAAGGAGAGCAAGGGAUUUCUGCCACGUCUCAUCUCGGAGAUUCCUUUGUUCCUGCACAUGCAGACGUAGAAAAGGAUCUGCAGACUGAUGAGCCAGAACGGCUGUCAGAAGAACCAUACACGGUGACGCACAACUGGAGUGCUGGGUCUGGAUCAGAGCGAUUGUCUAGUCUGCGGGGGCUCUCCCCUCGCAGAGUGGAUUUGAAUUCUGCUCACUCUGACACGCCAGAACACACACACUUUGACCCAGGCUCAACAGAGUCAGAGUCUCCUGGACCAAGCGGCCGCCUCAGUACCAACACUGAGGGACACCUGUUUUUAAAAAUGGACAACAACAUGCAGGCAACUGGAAUUCAAAUUCGCUCGGCCACAACUUCCAGGAGAGGAGAAACAUCAGCAUAUGAACAAGCUACAUCUGCGUCUAACUGGUCGGGCAAGUCCUCUCCGACUCCUCCUCACCCCGCCAAAACAACCCCAAGUCCUCUCCCGGAACACGUCUCUCCCUGCCUCUCUCAUUCCCCAUCUCGUCCUCCUCGCUCUGCCUGCCUGUCCCGGCCCACGUCAGGCUCGGAAUUGAGCCCAGCAUUCCGCCUGUUGUCCCGGGCGGCCCAGCAGAUCACGGAGAACUGUGGCGUGGACCAGACGGGCUGCGGGGACUCUGACCUGGACACAGCUGCACACACGCUCUGCGGCCUCGAGCAAGGACUCCCGCUCAUGGCCCCGGGGACGCAUCGGGCUUCAUCGUGUGGUGAAAUGAACAGUGGAAGUCGAACUCAGCAUGGGAGUCAGUGACUGACACGGGACAGAGUCGGCGAGGAACAAAAGGAGGCGGAGGAGGCUGCACAGAGAGACCUGCAGUGUGUCCACUUACUACCCUGAGAUAUUUGCACACACACGCACUCACAUUGCAGAGUAGAGAGUAAAGCGGCAAAAAUACACAGUUUAAUUUAAAUUGUGUUCACAUGUUGUCAAGGCUGGUGUAGAUGCCCCUUUAACCUCUGAAUCUAAAUCUGCAUAGAACUCUCGUCGUGCAAAUAAAUGAAAAUCUAAUGCUUUGAAGAACAAUGCUGGAAUUUGAUUAAAACAAUGUUUUGGAUUUCGAGUUGGGAUUUAUCUCUGUAUGAAUGUGUACAUGUUCUCACUGCACUAUAUUUAUGUCACUCGUACACUGUAUGAAAGGCAGCUUUGAGAUACCCGCCUGUGGAUGGAUUAUCUGAAGGUAUACGAAACAAACAAUGAGACGGGAAAAGGACGAGUACAGUACGGAUCUUCAGCUUUGAUUUCUUUGUGUGUUUCCAAGUGUGUGUGUGUGUGUGUGUGUGUGUGGCGCGCUUGUGUAGGUGUGCUGUCGUUGAGUUACAGUUGGCUGUGGUGUAAAUUAUGAGGGAAUAAGUAUCUGUGCCAACGGCUGCCAUCUCUCCGUAUGUGUGUGCAGGAGUUGGGGAAGAUAAACACCAGGCACAGGAAUUGGUUUGUCUUCUCUGUAGUAAAUGCACAGUUGGUGUGUAUGGGAGUGUGUACUGUAUAGAAGUGGAAGUAUUUUUUCUCCAGGUUUUUCAUUACCCCCCCAUCCUGUCCUUGCCCACCAGAGCUGCCAGGGUCCUCGGCUGAGUUCACAAACCACCAGUCGCUCGUUUAUUUCCAGCCAACGCGCACGUGAGGAUCGGGACAGGGACAAACAGGUAAACACAGGAGACCGAUCGCUCCUGUGUUACACACUCCAACGCACACAAACUGUUUGAAGCAGCAUGGAUGUCGAAGAUGCCGUGAAGAGUGAGGUUCAUUUGUGAACUGUCCACGUGGCUGUGUGUGAAUUCGAGCAUAUGCGCGGGGGGGCACUGUUUACUUCAGUCACCGUCGAGGGAUGCACAGGUACUUUAUUUGACUCGAUGUUAAUCGCCAGGAGCGGACAGCGAAAGCCCUGUAAUCCAACAGCAAUCACAGCAAGACUGAUUGACAGCACACGGGCGGAGAGAGAGAGAGAGAGAGAGAGGAGGACCGAGAGACCCAGCGGCAAUGAGGAAGAGGGGUGAAAAUGGUAGAUUGCUUGUUAUUGUGUCCUUAACUGAGUUCAUCACUUACUGUUUAGGAGAGGAAAAUAACAGAGACACGAGUCUGAUGGAUAUCGAACCGCUGGGCCGGGUUUAACCAACUCUGAGAUCCGUGCACCUCUUUCUCUCCCUCUCUCUCACGCACGUGGAUACAAACGGACAGAGAACCAGAAAAGAGCGCUGACCUUUGUUGGGUGUUGAGUUGUCUGUGAUGUUGUUAAUGCCGUCAAGAAAGACAGUGACGGAGGAGGAGUUGACGUCUAAGUCCACUGUUAACUGACCCUUUUCCACAACUGGACUUCAGACUGGGUCGGAAAAACUGACAAAAAGACUCUUUUUUUUUGCUAAACUCUCUAUUUUUUAAUUAUCGAGGAAAACCCCAACUCAUUUUAAUACACAAUACAUAUUACAGUGGACAUUUAUUGCAAAGUCAAUCAGAAGAAUGCAGCUUCCCUUCCCCCCUUCCCUGUCUCCUCAAGUGUGAUUUUUUUUCCAUACUACUUUGCUUUUUUUUUUUUUUUCCUUUUUUCUUUUUACAGCAACUUGCUCGGUAGAUACAUUUUUGUUCUGCUUCUGGCUUCAUGUCCACUCAUUUUCUGAUGAAAAGCCAUUCAAUUUUCCUCAGUCAGAAUGCCCUGAAAGCACUGCCUUGUUCACACACACACACACACACACACACUCAUUAACCACCUACAGUGAGCCGCAAGGGACAGUGUCCACAAAAUGGGUCGAAAAUAGAAGAAAUUGCACUCCUGGCGCAGAAAGGGGUUCAGUUUUCUUAUAAAUCAAUCCCCUAUUAGCCUUUUUUAUGAACUCACGAGGGAAUCCUCUGACAAUGUUCUGCCGCAAACUCGGGUCUCUGCAAGACAUGCAGUGGUUUUCACCAAAGGUGAAGAUUUGUGGCAGCAUCAUCGCCGCCAUCACCCCAGGUAGAGGUAGCUGAACUCCCGGCAGCAGCUCGCGUCCACUUGUGCUGUAGCCCCCAUGUCAGGGGGUCACACUUUGCUGCAGCUGAUUUGAAGGACUGAGAUGACGUAACGCAGGUAAGUUUACGUUCGCACUUUUUACGGUUUCAUUUCGACCUAUUUGGUCCGCCCAACGAAGAGGCUCCAGGAAGAACUGAAGGCCGAAAUGCACGGAGACAAAAACACAACAUGAGCUCCGUCAGUUUACCCAUUCAGAAUAAUGUUGGGGGUUUUUUUGUUGGUUUUCUUUUGGUUUUUUAUGGUGUUGGUGAUGUCAUCGCUGACAUCAUGGGUUAAACCAACUGGUGGGGGUUUCUUUUCAGUGGGGACGUUUGGUUUGAUGCUUUAUCGUUUGUUCACGUCACGUGUUGAGAUACUCACCCUUCGUAUGGUGAAUUGGUGACGUAAUGAGCUUGGGAAUAGGAGUUUUACGAUUAGUUUAUGUUACCUGGUGUUAAGGGUACUGUAUGUGUCAACCCUCAGUGAACGCUGGUGUGGGCUGAAGUAGUUUAGGUGUCAAUUGAACACCCUAUAUAUUCACCUGGAGCCUUCCCUCUCGAGGUUGGGGGGGAACAAGGUGCGGCCAUGCGGCCAUGCUUGUCUGAGUUUUCAGUCAAUUUUCAGUUAUUGUCUUGAGUUUUUGACUGACUCACUCGUGGGGCUCUGAAGGCCCUGAAGCCUCCUGAGGUGAAAUCUGAACAAGGAAAACAGAACUUUGAAGGACAACUUCCAUUUUUUGGGAGCAAAUUCUAGGAACUGAGAACUUUUUUUUUUAAAUAAGUGGACCCUUACGGACUAAAGGAAUACAAACAAUCCAGGAAUGGAAAAGACAACUUCACCGCUGUAAAGGUAGGGAUUCCGCCAAUGUUUUGCAUCUUGCUUCAUGAUGCCGGUAAAUUCAAAAUGAAAGGCAAUUUUGCACUCGUGGUAUUAGUAAAAUGAACCCAAUGGGUGAGUUUUGGAGAAACUAACUAAAAGUGUAUAGUUGACGGAAACCGCUCUCGUUGCUGCAGGCUCUCCCCAUGUUCUGAGUGUGUGUUCGCUGAAGAGCACAAAACGAUGUGUGUUCAUGCUCGUAAGUUAGACAAGAAAGAGACAUUUGACGGGGAAGUUAAGUGGGCUGUUGUUCAGUCUGUGGCUCCAUGUGUAGGCGGAUGUUGUCUGGAUAGAAGGGGGACUCGACUGCUUCAUUCAAAGGUCUGAUUGGCUGCGUGCAAACGACAUCUCCAUCUCCACGGCUUGUGCUCUCAUUAAAUAAUAAAAAAUUUAAAAAAACCCUGGCAACAACAAAAGAUCAAAUGUAUUCAUUUUUCCUCAC